rnacentral:lncRNA from 1 species
CGUGGAGCCACCGUUUCAUAGCCUCAGGGAAAGGAUCGGGCGUGCUCACGAGCCCUCUAACCCAUGGCUUAAACACCCGCUUCCUAAGCCUGGGUACUUCCUAAGCGUGGCUACUCCAAUGAAGCUUUAGUAUAUGUACUGAAAGAAGAUCCUCUCAUACUGCCACAGCCAAGAGAUAAGGUUGUAAAUCUUUAUUGGGAGAAGCCGUCAAGGACAGUUCUGUGAAAUGAAAGGAUCUCUGGAUCACCACAAAGUCUGGCUCAGUGACUAUGGCUUUGCAAACACUAAACAUUCCUGUCUCAAGUCCUGUAGAUGGCUUGAAAUAGUAUACAUAAGCAUGCCUUAUAAACAUCUUCAGUCUUUAUCAACUCUUUGGAGAUUCAGCCAUUCUUUUUUGUACUUUAGGGAAUUAAAUCAUUUUAUAAUGUAUAAAUCUGAG